rnacentral:rRNA from 1 species
GAUCAAACAGGAUUAGAUACCCUGUAGUCCACGCCGUAAACGAUGAGUGCUAAGUGUUAGGGGGUUUCCGCCCCUUAGUGCUGAGCUAACGCAUUAAGCACUCCGCCUGGGGAGUACGACCGCAAGGUUGAAACUCAAAGGAAUGACGGGGACCCGCACAAGCGGUGGAGCAUGUGGUUUAAUUCGAAGCAACGCGAAGAACCUACCAAAUCUUGACAUCCUUUGACCGCUCUAGAGAUAGAGUUUUCCCCUUCGGGGGACAAGUGACAGGUGGUGCAUGGUUGUCGUCAGCUCGUGUCGUGAGAUGUUGGGUUAAGUCCCGCACGAGCGCAACCCUUAAACUUAGUUGCCAGCAUUCAGUUGGGCACUCUAAGUUGACUGCCGUGACAAACCGGAGGAAGGUGGGGAUGACGUCAAAUCAUCAUGCCCCUUAUGAUUUGGGCACACACGUGCUACAAUGGACAAUACAAAGGGCAGCGAAACCGCGAGGUCAAGCAAAUCCCUAAAGUUGUUCUCAGUUCGGAUUGUAGUCUGCAACUCGACUACAUGAAGCUGGAAUCGCUGUAAUCGUAGAUCAGCAUGCUACGGUGAAUACGUUCCCGGGUCUUGCACACACCGCCCGU